rnacentral:lncRNA from 1 species
CCUCUUCACAAAGUAGCACGGCUCCUCAAAUUAAGCCCUUUGCUUCAACAAUCAUGGAUGAUAAUUUUUUCUGCCUGUGAAAAUAUCACUCAACAUCUUCCUAUCUCCAACUGAUUCGAAGAAUUUCCAAAUCAAGAAUUCCAAGAUUUUGAUGAGGGUCUACAACAGUCAUAACAGUCUUCCAUGAUCUCCUCAGCAUCACAGGUUUUUAAUCCAGAAUAAUCAUUUUAAGAAUGCCCGCUUUUAUUGUGUUCCUAUACAGGUCAUUGAAAAAAGAACAAAAAGAAUCAUAAGUGGGGCUCCGGAGGGGUUAAAACGAGUGAAAGGAAUCUUACAUCAAAGAGUAGAAGAACAUAUUCGAUAGCUAUCUGAGGCAUAUUUGACAAUUUUUGGAGUUAACCGGUCAGAGUGGUCUAGAUAAUUGUAUGAAUUCAACUUAUGGAUAGAUCAUUGAGUUGUAGUCCAUUGGAAUACUGGUAAGCCUUGUGCUUCUUCUGCAAUGGAAAAGGAGAACACAAGCUAGAUGCAUGAGCUAACAAAGUACUGAAUUACAGUUAAUACUGAAUUUUGCAAAUGAAGGGAGCAUAACAAAGUUAAGGAAACAUAGCAGACAUCAUAAUACAAAUAAAAGCACAAUGGAGAAAUUGUUGAUUUACAAGCGCCAUCCAGCAAGCAAACAGAUGCCUUCUAGACAUCCAGUCAUAAAUGGUUGCCUUGCCCAGCAAUAUCCACACUAUAAUGAGCAGAGAACUCUUUAAAAUAGAUUCAUCGCUCUCCGAGAUAACACAAGCAUAUGCUCUAUUACAAAAAAAUAGAAGCAAGAUUGGUCUAGAAUAUUCAAUCUAACAGCUAUGGAGGCAAUAUUACCACUAUUUGACUGACCUUAAGGUGUCUAAUUCAUAACAAACAUUCAUUCUGGAACCAAUAAUUACACUGCUUAUAGGUUCCACAAGAUGAAUUCCCUUUGUUAGAGGAGGGGAAAAAAUCUUCAUGGGCCGAACCACCUGAAUUCUAAAUUAGAAAGAGAAGACAAGGAAAUUUGGUAUGUUCCCGCUUCAUCCAAAAAUUAUAUAUACACAAAAGUAGGAAUUUCAAUGGGAAUUUUCAUAAAGAUGCUAAUUUAAAAUUCUAAAUCUUCUGCAAUCUCAUGAAAUGUGGUUAAUGAAAUCUUGAAUUCAAGAAUAUGCAGACUUCAUUAUAGUGUUUUGACUGUAAGAGAUAAUAAAUUCAGGAGUAGGGAGUAGGGACUUUGAGAAAUUCCAAAAUCAGAGUGGCACAACAUGUUAUAAGCAAAUAAUGUAUUCAGAAUCUUGCAGUAUAAAAUUAAAACAAACAAAAUGUACGGCUAGAAACAGUAGCUCACAAUUACAUCCUAACUGUUUCCAACAUACAUCUUCUCACCUAUUUCCCAAAAUUUCACUUCUACACAUUAAUGGGAAAAGAAGAUACCAAAUUCUUGCUCUCAACAAACAAAGAAUAAACAUUUUCAUCAGGGAAAUGCUGCUGCUACUCAACUACACUCUCAGAAAGAUACCAGCAUAAUAAGAAGCAAAGGGCAAAAUCUAGUGAGAGAAUAUUUACUACAAAAAAACAAGGAAAAAUGAAAAUGUCAAAUCAUUAUGAAAGGAAAGGGAGGUGUAAUUGAAUGACCCCAGGCCUCAUAGACCAAGGCUUGCUUAAAGUGCUUAAGGUGGACACAAAGCUCACAGGUGGCAAAUUAGAAGAAGAUUAGGACAGUUACUCAUUGAUGGUAUUCUAGUCCAUACACUACGAUGGCAGCGAUUCCAAGCUGCCCCUCCACUUACUCGAACUCCUCUUCAGAACCCUCAACAUAUACCAAAAAGCAUGAAAACAAUGUCUUUUCUGUUUGAACAAGGUAGCUUAUAAUAUGGGGUAGAAAAUAUUGGCUGCCAAACCUCUCAUACUUCAUUUCCUAAUCUCAGAUCUUCUACUAUGAUAAUGUGGAAAGCCUGGAAAGAUAAAAUGGGUAAGAGGUACAUCAAAAGGAACUCAGGGGCACAGAUUGAGAAUAAAAUCAGAAAAAAAAAAUGUUGAGAUGAUAUAAAUACAUGCAGUAAAGAUAUGAGGAAGCACCAACAGUGAGAUAUUCUUGAAUUCAACUUGAAAGAUUCAGAAAGAGAAGAACAAACCUUUACUGUCAUGAAUAAAAGUUGUGAGAAAUAAUUAAAACCUUAAAUAAUAAUGGAGAUGACCCUUAAAAAGAACAUCAAUCUGAUGAUUCAUGAAGUUGACUCCAACUUUAUUGGGGACAAGGCUUAACAGCAAUUGUAUGAUUAUGGCAAUUUGAUGCCUACUACUACAUCAUUAACACCAUCAACUUGUUCAACCGAGUGCACUUUGCACCUAACCAAGGAAAGAGAGAUGCAACGCUAGCUCUUUGAUUACACUGAAGCCCUAAUAUGAUGAAGACAUGUCUUAGACCUCCAUGAAAAGCUCUGAAGAAUUCUGUUUGGAGUAGGGCUCAUUCAGCAAAUAGCUCGAGCUAUGCUUAGCUCGCUCCUUUGGCUCAUGAGCCAGCACAAAUAUUAAAUAUGUUAUAUAUAUAUAUACAUACAUAUAUAUAUAUAUAUAUACAUAUAUAUAUACAUAUACAUAUAUAUAUAUACAUAUACAUAUAUAUAUAUACUAUAUACAUAUAUAUAUACUAUAUAAUAUAUAUAUAUANAUANNNNNNNNNNNNNNNNNNNNAAUAAUGUUAUAUAUAUAUACAUACAUAUAUAUAUAUAUAUAUACAUAUAUAUAUACAUAUACAUAUAUAUAUAUACAUAUACAUAUAUAUAUAUACAUAUACAUAUAUAUAUAUACAUAUACAUAUAUAUAUAUACAUAUACAUAUAUAUAUAUACAUAUAUACACACAAUAUUUAUUAGAUGCAAGUAUAUUAUUAAAUAUGUCAGGAAUUUUUUAUUUAGUGAUUUGAUGAAGGGUAAAUAAUUAGCUAUUGGAUUUAGCCACUAGAUUAAAAUCGAUCAGCCUAGAUAGAUGAUGGACAGGAUUAAAACCUAACUCCCCUAAUAUCAUCACCAACCAUGCCCAUCCAUCAACGAUAACCACCGUCAAUCUUCUCCUAGGCUAUUCCUAUGAUUCCCACCCACCAUCGCCAUCACCUAUCUGUCUCCCCAUAACUGAAGAUGAGGAUCCACCACUGAUUGACACCACCAGCCAACCAUCCACAAUUCCCACCACCCAUCGGCUCUCCCUUUUCCUACCUAUCCCGAGACCAGAGAUAAGAAGGCCUCCGCCUUUGAGCCGGUAGUCCAUAGAGAUGCUGCCACAAGAGAGGAGGCUAUGCAAAUGGGCAUGGAGAUGGUGGCACCAGCCACUGAGACCAAGAACCAGGGCAACAGAAAGCAGAAGCACAGGCAUCCGCCUAAGGAACAGCAGGGUGGCAGGUGGGCAUCAUCAAUGAAGAGGAAGGAGGAAGAUGAGGAUAGAGAUAGAGGGAGUUUGGAGAGAAAAGGGGGUUGUANUUUUUUUUUUUUUAAUUUCGAACAUCAUCAAGUUAAGCUCAAGUUAGCUCAACUCUGAUUCAAGUGAAGCUAGAGCUGGCUUUCUCAGCUUGACUAAAGCUUAAGCUCCAUUGUAAUAUUGAUCCAAGCUUGAACACAGCUUAGCUUGCUCAUGUUUAGCUCAUUUACACCCCCAGUAUGAAGUGGCAAAAUAACAUAAGAAACACUCAUGCAUACAAAGACACUUCAAAGAUGACAGCAGGGAUUUUCCUUAGGGGCUUGCAUGCACGACAGAUAGAGAGGAGAGAGAGGGAGCCAAGGAAUGGAGAAACUAAUUUCACCAAACAUCACCAGCCAACUGCUAGUAGAUAAUGCUAAAAAGGCCAUCACAUGAAAAAUACCAUUUUGGGGAUGGUGGUGCAUGUGGGGACAAUCCACAGUUCAUUGUUUCCUCAUGCCAUCACUACCACUAUUCACAAGCCAGCAGGCUGGCAGCCGCAAUGUCAUGAGGCGAUGGAUAAGCGAAUAGCAAUUGCUGGCUAGCCUCGCCCAGAAAAUAGAAUCAUCCCCAUGAUUCAGUUUUAACAAGAAGAACAUUGAUAAAAUCAGAUAUGGAAGAGCAUUCAAGUCUUAAACAAGGACACAUAAAUAAGAUUGGUUUUAUAGGACGGAAGUAAAUUUGAGCCACAGGUCAAUGAUCACAAACAUUUCCUAAAAGUAUCAUAUAAACAUUAUAAGAGUAUAUCUAUAUGGAAGAACACUUACCACAAGCAGAAACAUCACCUUCUACUUCCUAUGAAGUACGUCAGCAUCAAGUUAACAUUAUUAAGAUAAAUAUCAAAUCAAACACUUCUCCCUUCUUUUCCUGCAACAAUUCCUGUACAUGAAGGGAAAAAGGUAGAUAAAAUAUUUUAUCCAGCAAAAUAUCUCGAAUCUAUUUAACUUCAUUUGUUUGUCAUUAAUAAACCUCAGGGUCCCAACUUUGAAUACCAACUGGACAAUACUACACAUACUCCAUAAAUGACGAGCUAGUUCUUAAAAUAGGGAAAGUUUAAUCACUCCCAGAAGUGAUGAUCAAACAAGUACAAGAGGAUGUUUCUGGUUCAAAGAGUAUAACAAUAUCUAAAUGAUGCAAGAAUUAGUUAAUAUAAUUUGAUAUAGCCCUUCUGAAUCAUUAUCGGCAAGCAAGAAAACAUACCUACGAUGACCACUAAAAUCUGUAGUUUUUGUUAAAAUACAAACUACGCUGUAGGGCUGAAACUCUAGUUCAAUGAC